UUAGUUUGAACUUGUGCGCACGUGCUGACAAAAUGGAGUGGAUGUACUGACCUAAUAUGGUGAACCGGGCAUCAGUGACGUAAAAAAUGAUGUAAGUGCUGACGCAAUUGACACUAAUAUGAUCUAUCACCGAACAUGUAUCCUUUUGAGGGAAGGACUUCAAAAGGCCACCUGGAGAAAAACAAGAUAAGUUAUAGAUAUGACUAAUUGGCUUGGCGUGAGAAAACGGAUGUCGGUAUGUCUUCAAAGCCGUGUGUGGCUAUAUAAGCGCUCGGAGAUGUGACCCUGGGUUCUUGCUCUUUUUGGAUCUUCGCCCGCGUCUGUCCGCCGUAAGUUUUUAUCUUAUCUUGGGACGGUGCUCUUGCUGUUUGCUCUCGGACCAUUUGAUUUAACUCAUCUUUUAUUUCUCUUUUACUAUUUUUGAAUUAAUCCUUUUUAUUGAAGUAUUUUUGAUUAUAUGGUUUUGAAAUAUUUUUAAUUAUACGGUCUUUGAAGUAUUUUUGAUUAUAUGGUUUUGAAGUAUUCUUAAUUAUACGGUUUUUGAAGUGUUUUUGAUUAUAUGGUUUUGAAGUAUUUUUAAUUAUACGGCUUUUGAAGUAUUUUUGAUUAUAUGGUUUUUGAAGUAUAUGUACUAGUACUAGCGUCUGGCGGUACUUUUGAUACUGUUGGGUAUCAGCGUCUGGCGAUACCCUUGAGUUUAUGGAUUUUAUUAUUUUUGGUUGAUUUUGCUGUUUUUACUAUUCUUUUAUUAAUUUUUUGAAGAAACAUUUUUGUGACAAAAAACAAAAUAAAAUUGAGUACGAAUUAAGUACUGAAAAGGCACAACGGCGUUGAUCCCUGACUACUAAAGAAUCAACUGGCUCCUGCCUACUACCAUCAAUUGGGUUAUAGGACCAGCUCUACCACGUCAGGGUCUGGGGCCUCCCCAUGGAAGUCCACCCCCAUCAGUGAGGCCAUUCUGUGCAGCAGACCAGGAAUCUGUUCCAGCUGCUCCCGGGCUGUGCAAACAUGGUGAAAACAGCCAAAUGCGGGAGCAGUACGAUGUGACAUGUUAGUUUUGUAGUGUGCAUUUUGUGUUUAGCGUUUUUAAAAAGUAACUCACGACUAUUCAAAGCCAGGCAACUAGUGUAGAAAUAAUUGAAUGUUUUAACUCUUUAAAAGUUGCACCAAAGGAUAAAAAUAAAUAUCAUAGUUGUUAGGUAUUAUCAGGAUGAAUCAACCUAUUAUGCAUGCAUUACGCAAUUACUCCAGCAUCAUGUGAUGAAUGUAUGAAUUGAGAAUUAUAAAAAAGUAACCCGAGUCGAAAUCGAAAUGCGUUUAAAUAAAAUCUUUCCAUUUGAUAAAGAAAAUGUGAUUGAUUGAUCAUAUUUAUGGUUCACCGCUGGUUUACCCUUUAGGUUUGAACUGAAGAGAUGUAUUGCUUACUUGUAAUCUUACAUGCUGAUGUCCGCACUGCAUUCCAAAGGCCCCUUAGUUUCUAUAUUUAAGCUAAUGCUUUUCCCAAAAUGCACGCGUCUCCUUACUGCAAGAUGGCCUCUCAACAUUCUCGGAUGGCAGGAAUGUGAACUCGCUGUAUAAAGGACACCUCGAAGCAUCAGUCUCCAGUCAGCCUUCGCUUUUGUAAACCAGCGUUGCUUCUGUGAACUCUGACUCCUCAAGUUCACUGAUUUCUCGUCAUUUUAUAAAGAACAACAAGCAGAAAUACCUAACACCAUUUUAAAAAACAGUGUUUCUGUUGUUCAUUUUCACAAAGUAAAGCUUGUGAACAAAUUCAGAUAUUGUAUUUUCAUAUUUUUUUCACAAGUUACAGGUGUAUUCUAAGUUUCAACUGUGUCUCAAAUUUAAAACUUUUUCAGUGUUUUAAAAACAAACAACUGGCAAUCAUUAAACUGGUUGACAUUGUAGGUUCUUGAACCUGUUUUUGUCUUUGUUCGCAAGUUACCAUAAAAGAAUAGUUUUGGUAGGCUGGCUGUUCAUGCUAUAACAUCUAAUCGCAGCACUGAAGCCUGUAAGUACAUUUUUCCUUUUACUUCAAACUUUUCUCCAUCCACUAGAUUCUCAAAUAUCUGUUUCACUGUUAAAAACUUCGAAUUGUCAGUACCAGAAAUUGAAUUGUUUGCAAAAACAACAAAUAAAGUUUUCUUUCAGCACUCACACACACACACACACACACUCGUGCAUCAAAUUUAAGACUUUCCAUUCUCACUAUAAGACAACAAGCCAUUUUAGUAUGUACGAGCGUGUUGGCAUGUUCCCAAUCUUCUUAAUCUUUUCAUUCACCGGAAACUGUCUGCUUACACAAAUUGUAUUAGUAAUCCUGAACUAAAGCCUGACGUUUUUGUACAACUAUCUACGAUAGGAUAAAUAAAUGAAUACUUAUUAGAAACUAGAUAUAGUUUAUUUAAAAUUUUUGACAAACUUCUGUCAUUUGUUCAGCCAUUUCUCAAAUUUGAAAAAAAUAAAAGAUGUAUAACUUUUGAGAUUUUUAUUUUUCGCUACCAGUCACAAACCCCUGCUUUUUUCAUGAAAUAGUCACAAGCGUUUCCAUCGAGCCAUUGUUUUUUUUUUUUUGUGGUUUUUUUUUCCAAGUAAAGCUUUUUACUACUCACUGUCAAUUCUAACUGACAAACAACAAAUCACAGGGUUGACAUUGUACUUUCUGACAUACUUUCAGUUUUUUCAUUUUUAAUUGUCCUAGACCUACAUUUUCUUUACAUAUCUUCAAGCUGAAGAGUAUUUUAUCUUCUAUUUGUUUACAUUCACAAGGUGUACGAAUUGCGUGGAAGCAUUUUUUUUACGCUAGUAGUCUCUCAAUGAGGCACUGAAUCCUGCAGAAGGCUUUUAUUCCUUUUUAUGAACUUGCAUCUACCUAUCCAUCCAUCAGUCAGUUAAGUUUUAAAGUGUAACCGCAUAAGACGGAAUAUGCACAUAGACAAUAUCAGAAAAAAUAAAUAUGAGAAUCUACUUCAAAGAACAACUCUGUUCAUUGAGAAGGGAGAGAACUUCAGCAACAAUGUUUGAUCAAACAAAAACAUGAAGUGGUGAAAGGGCUGGUGCAAUGAUUAAGUGGGGAAAGGGCUGCUUGUCUCACCUUGUGAUAUUCUUCACCCCAAGCUAGUUAUAAGCAUAACAUGUACUCAAGCAAUAAGCAAGCAGUGACUCAGAAGAAUAGUACAACAACUCUCAGUGCACUGUGCUUGGUUUGUUUUGAGAUGCUUUGUCUCCAUCACUUUCAACAAUUUCUUUCACUGAUAACUUCGCUUCAGUUUUGACUCAACUCUUCCACAGCAAAACAUGUUUUGGGGACGUUUAGAAUAGGACAAGGUUUUUAGCAUCAGCUAAAUCACUGGUGCACUUAAGGGGCAAAGAAUUCUUAAAGAGUUCUUAGGUCUUUACAAUAUCUGGUGAUGAAUACCGCUAUACACCAGGGGUGGCCAACUAGUCAGAGGCUAGGAGCUGAAAAAGAGCCACAUCGUACAAAUAUGUAAGUCUGUAGGGCUCACCAGAACAGCUGGUCAGAUGACUUUGCAGCAGUAUAGCAUGUGCUUGUUCAAAAAAAAGUAAUUCCCCCCUUUCGUCAUAUAAAGUUUAUAUGAAAAAGAGAUCAAAUGGAUAUCAAGUGGAUAUGCAGUAGGUCAGGCUGUGGAGUGAGAGAAUUGGAGGGAAGUGUGUGUAUGUGUGUGUCUGUGUGUUCAUGUACUUCAAUCUUUGUGAGUCACAUAUCCCUGGAUGAUGCAUAAAUUUACAUUGUAACAGUGUAUGUCUUCAUUUAAGGACUCAUAAAAGGGGGUCACAAAGAGUUAAGCGUCUGCAGAAGCAGCGCCAGGGAGGACGAGGCGUAACUCACGUCUCUACUGGGUAACGUGUGUAUGUCUUCACAUGAGGAUUCAUGGAAGAGUCCAUAAAGUCUUGGGUGUAGGAGGCAAAGAAUAGCGUAUGAUUCACAACUGGCAUAAAGUGCAUAUAAUCCUGGGAAAUCCUUUGUGCUGACCAUCUUCGACCAGCUCCUACAAGUCACUGUCAGACCUCCGUGUGAACUCGCAGCGUCAGUGACAGCCAAUGAAGGAUUCAAACAUGAGUAAGUGUGUAGGCACCGUUUCGAUGACAUGCAGAUGAACGAUCACAACUGUUUUGGGUUUGAUGGAUAUUAAUCAGCAGCAGGUCAACAAUGCACCUAUGAUUGGUAGGUGUUUUUUUUUAAUUCUGUUUCGAAUUUUAUAUGACUGACGGAGG